rnacentral:pre_miRNA from 1 species
CUCGAGUUGUCUCUCAUGUCUAGACCAUUUGUGAGAAGGGAUUUACUGUUUGCACCAUCCACCUCACCAAUCUCUAAAUCUGCCAUUAGUAUUAUGCUCAUUUAAGAAAAUUAGCAUCUAGAAAAUAGGUACAUAAAGUGCAUGAAUGACUUUUGCAGAUGCUGUACACAUAAUUUUUUUUUAUAGAAUCAGUUCAUGCUGGUUCUCCAAAUCAUAUACAGUUUUGGACAUAUAUUUUUCCCAAGAGAUGUCAAACUUCUAUAUGGAUUGUUAGAAGGUUUUCAUGAUAUCUUAGAAUUUGUAGCUUGCACUACUUAGCUACAUUAGUUCACUUGUUAAAAGUUGGGAAGUGGGGGAGGUGCUGGGUUAUUCCCUUCUCAUCGAUGGUCUAGAUGUGCGAGGUGACUCUCAUAGUGU